AUCCAGCUGACGAGUCCAAAAUCGGACUAAUCGUGCGUCCUGCAU
rnacentral:hammerhead_ribozyme from 1 species